UACGUAGGGGGCUAGCGUUGUCCGGAAUCAUUGGGCGUAAAGCGCGUGUAGGCGGCCCGGUAAGUCCGCUGUGAAAGUCGGGGGCUCAACCCUCGGAUGCCGGUGGAUACUGUCGGGCUUGAGUACGGAAGAGGCGAGUGGAAUUCCUGGUGUAGCGGUGAAAUGCGCAGAUAUCAGGGGGAACACCAAUUGCGAAGGCAGCUCGCUGGGACGUUACUGACGCUGAGACGCGAAAGCGUGGGGAGCAAACAGG
rnacentral:rRNA from 1 species